rnacentral:rRNA from 1 species
ACACAUGCAAGUCGAACGGACUUACAUUGAAGCCUAGCGAUAUGUAAGUUAGUGGCGGACGGGUGAGUAACGCGUGGGUAACCUGCCUUGUACUGGGGGACAACAGUUGGAAACGACUGCUAAUACCGCAUAAGCGCACAGCUUCGCAUGAAGCAGUGUGAAAAACUCCGGUGGUACAAGAUGGACCCGCGUCUGAUUAGCUGGUUGGUGAGGUAACGGCCCACCAAGGCGACGAUCAGUAGCCGGCCUGAGAGGGUGAACGGCCACAUUGGGACUGAGACACGGCCCAAACUCCUACGGGAGGCAGCAGUGGGGAAUAUUGCACAAUGGGGGAAACCCUGAUGCAGCAACGCCGCGUGAGUGAAGAAGUAUUUCGGUAUGUAAAGCUCUAUCAGCAGGAAAGAAAAUGACGGUACCUGACUAAGAAGCCCCGGCUAACUACGUGCCAGCAGCCGCGGUAAUACGUAGGGGGCAAGCGUUAUCCGGAUUUACUGGGUGUAAAGGGAGCGUAGACGGUUUUGCAAGUCUGAAGUGAAAGCCCGGGGCUUAACCCCGGGACUGCUUUGGAAACUGUAGGACUAGAGUGCAGGAGAGGUAAGUGGAAUUCCUAGUGUAGCGGUGAAAUGCGUAGAUAUUAGGAGGAACACCAGUGGCGAAGGCGGCUUACUGGACUGUAACUGACGUUGAGGCUCGAAAGCGUGGGGAGCAAACAGGAUUAGAUACCCUGGUAGUCCACGCCGUAAACGAUGAUUACUAGGUGUUGGUGGGUAUGACCCAUCGGUGCCGCAGCAAACGCAAUAAGUAAUCCACCUGGGGAGUACGUUCGCAAGAAUGAAACUCAAAGGAAUUGACGGGGACCC